GUAUUGUUUUAUUGGCCGAAGCCUAAUACAUUCAUUGACUUCAAUAAUAAAGGGUAUAUGAAAAACAUAGACUCGGAAAUUAAUCCUAGUCUACAUUCAAAGUGCACAGGUGGAUAUGAAGGCGGGAGUGCACGGUCUAAUGAAAGACCAGCAACAUCCCUUUGGAUUCAAUAAUGAUCCUUCCGCAGGUUCACCUACGGAAA
rnacentral:misc_RNA from 1 species